GCAAGGAAUAUUGGGCAAUGGGCGAAAGCCUGACCCAGCGACGCCGCGUGAGGGAUGAAGGCCUUCGGGUCGUAAACCUCUUUUCUCAGGGAAGAAUAAUGACGGUACCUGAGGAAUAAGUCUCGGCUAACUACGUGCCAGCAGCCGCGGUAAUACGUAGGAGGCUAGCGUUAUCCGGAUUUACUGGGCGUAAAGGGAGCGUAGGUGGUGCGUUAAGUCAGAUGUAAAAUAUCUCGGCUUAACCGAGAAGGACCAUCUGAUACUGGCGUACUAGAGGGCAGCAGAGGGAGGCGGAAUUCCCGGUGUAGUGGUGAAAUGCGUAGAUAUCGGGAGGAACACCAGUGGCGAAGGCGGCCUCCUGGGCUGCUCCUGACACUGAGGCUCGAAAGCGUGGGGAGCGAACAGGAUUAGAAACCCUAGUAGUCC
rnacentral:rRNA from 1 species